rnacentral:rRNA from 1 species
ACUCCCAUGGUGUGACGGGCGGUGUGUACAAGGCCCGGGAACGUAUUCACCGCGGCUGCUGGGACAAUCACUAGUGAAUUCACCAACACGACGGACAAUGAACACUCAUUGUUGGUUAUUACUGUUCAGUGAGAAAACAACAACGAUAAGUGAUCCACCUGGGGAGUACGAUCGCAAGGUUGAAACUCAAAGGAAUUGACGGGGGCCCGCACAAGCGGAGGAGCAUGUGGUUUAAUUCGAUGAUACGCGAGGAACCUUACCCGGGCUUGAAGGUAAGACGAAUAUAUGGGAAACCAUAUAGCCUACGGGCGUCUUGCUAGGUGCUGCAUGGUUGUCGUCAGCUCGUGCCGUGAGGUGUUAGGUUAAGUCCUGCAACGAGCGCAACCCCUACUAAUAGUUGCCAGCACGUUAAGGUGGGAACUCUAUUAGAACUGCCUACGCAAGUAGAGAGGAAGGUGGGGAUGACGUCAAAUCAGCACGGCCCUUAUGUCCGGGCUACACACGUGCUACAAUGUCAUAUACAGAGGGCAGCUACUCGGUGACGAGAUGCUAAUCUUAAAAGUAUGUCUCAGUUCGGAUUGCAGUCUGAAACUCGA